UGCAGUCGAGCGCAGGAGCUCACGGAACUCUUCGGAGGGAAGUGAAGGGAAUGAGCGGCGGACGGGUGAGUAACACGUAAGGAACCUGCCCCAAGGAUUGGGAUAACUCCGAGAAAUCGGAGCUAAUACCGAAUAGUUCUUCAGACCGCAUGGUCUGAUGAUGAAAGGCGCUCCGGCGUCACCUUGGGAUGGCCUUGCGGUGCAUUAGCUAGUUGGUGGGGUAAUGGCCCACCAAGGCGACGAUGCAUAGCCGACCUGAGAGGGUGAUCGGCCACACUGGGACUGAGACACGGCCCAGACUCCUACGGGAGGCAGCAGUAGGGAAUCUUCCACAAUGGACGAAAGUCUGAUGGAGCAACGCCGCGUGAGUGAUGAAGGUUUUCGGAUCGUAAAACUCUGUUGUAAGGGAAGAACAAGUACGAGAGGUAAUGCUCGUACCUUGACGGUACCUUGCGAGAAAGCCACGGCUAACUACGUGCCAGCAGCCGCGGUAAUACGUAGGUGGCAAGCGUUGUCCGGAAUUAUUGGGCGUAAAGCGCGCGCAGGCGGCCUUUUAAGUCUGAUGUGAAAGCCCCCGGCUCAACCGGGGAGGGUCAUUGGAAACUGGAAGGCUUGAGUACAGAAGAGAGAGUGGAAUUCCAUGUGUAGCGGUGAAAUGCGUAGAGAUGUGGAGGAACACCAGUGGCGAAGGCGACUCUUUGGUC
rnacentral:rRNA from 1 species